UACGAAGGGGGCUAGCGUUGUUCGGAAUUACUGGGCGUAAAGCGCACGUAGGCGGACAUUUAAGUCAGGGGUGAAAUCCCAGAGCUCAACUCUGGAACUGCCUUUGAUACUGGGUGUCUUGAGUAUGGAAGAGGUGAGUGGAAUUCCGAGUGUAGAGGUGAAAUUCGUAGAUAUUAGGAAGAACACCGGUGGCGAAGGCGGCCCACUGGCUCGAUACUGACGCUGAGGUGCGAAAGCGUGGGGAGCAAACAGG
rnacentral:rRNA from 1 species